rnacentral:rRNA from 2 species
GCAGUGUACCCGCGGCAAGACGGAAAGACCCCGUGAACCUUUACUAUAGCUUGACACUGAACAUUGAGCCUUGAUGUGUAGGAUAGGUGGGAGGCUUUGAAGCGUGGACGCCAGUCUGCGUGGAGCCAACCUUGAAAUACCACCCUUUAAUGUUUGAUGUUCUAACGUGGACCCGUAAUCCGGGUUGCGGACAGUGUCUGGUGGGUAGUUUGACUGGGGCGGUCUCCUCCUAAAGAGUAACGGAGGAGCACGAAG